rnacentral:rRNA from 1 species
GACGAACGCUGGCGGCGUGCUUAACACAUGCAAGUCGAACGGAAAGGCCCUGCUUUUGUGGGGUGCUCGAGUGGCGAACGGGUGAGUAACACGUGAGUAACCUGCCCUUGACUUUGGGAUAACUUCAGGAAACUGGGGCUAAUACCGGAUAGGAGCUCCUGCUGCAUGGUGGGGGUUGGAAAGUUUCGGCGGUUGGGGAUGGACUCGCGGCUUAUCAGCUUGUUGGUGGGGUAGUGGCUUACCAAGGCUUUGACGGGUAGCCGGCCUGAGAGGGUGACCGGCCACAUUGGGACUGAGAUACGGCCCAGGCUCCUACGGGAGGCAGCAGUGGGGAAUAUUGCACAAUGGGCGGAAGCCUGAUGCAGCAACGCCGCGUGCGGGAUGACGGCCUUCGGGUUGUAAACCGCUUUCGCCUGUGACGAAGCGUGAGUGACGGUAAUGGGUAAAGAAGCACCGGCUAACUACGUGCCAGCAGCCGCGGUGAUACGUAGGGUGCGAGCGUUGUCCGGAUUUAUUGGGCGUAAAGGGCUCGUAGGUGGUUGAUCGCGUCGGAAGUGUAAUCUUGGGGCUUAACCCUGAGCGUGCUUUCGAUACGGGUUGACUUGAGGAAGGUAGGGGAGAAUGGAAUUCCUGGUGGAGCGGUGGAAUGCGCAGAUAUCAGGAGGAACACCAGUGGCGAAGGCGGUUCUCUGGGCCUUUCCUGACGCUGAGGAGCGAAAGCGUGGGGAGCGAACAGGCUUAGAUACCCUGGCAGUCCACGCUGUAAACGGUGGGUACUAGGUGUGGGGUCCAUUCCACGGGUUCCGUGCCGUAGCUAACGCUUUAAGUACCCCGCCUGGGGAGUACGGCCGCAAGGCUAAAACUCAAAGGAAUUGACGGGGCCCCGCACAAGCGGCGGAGCAUGCGGAUUAAUUCGAUGCAACGCGUAGAACCUUACCUGGGUUUGACAUGGAUCGGGAGUGCUCAGAGAUGGGUGUGCCUCUUUUGGGGUCGGUUCACAGGUGGUGCAUGGCUGUCGUCAGCUCGUGUCGUGAGAUGUUGGGUUAAGUCCCGCAACGAGCGCAACCCUUGUUCACUGUUGCCAGCACGUUAUGGUGGGGACUCAGUGGAGACCGCCGGGGUCAACUCGGAGGAAGGUGGGGAUGACGUCAAGUCAUCAUGCCCCUUAUGUCCAGGGCUUCACGCAUGCUACAAUGGCUGGUACAGAGAGUGGCGAGCCUGUGAGGGUGAGCGAAUCUCGGAAAGCCGGUCUCAGUUCGGAUUGGGGUCUGCAACUCGACCUCAUGAAGUCGGAGUCGCUAGUAAUCGCAGAUCAGCAACGCUGCGGUGAAUACGUUCCCGGG